GACAGAGGAUGCAAGCGUUAUCCGGAUUUACUGGGUUUAAAGGGUGCGUAGGUGGGUCUGUAAGUCAGUGGUGAAAUCUCCGAGCUUAACUCGGAAACUGCCAUUGAUACUAUAGGUCUUGAAUCAUCUGGAGGUAAGCGGAAUAUGUCAUGUAGCGGUGAAAUGCUUAGAUAUGACAUAAAACACCAAUUGCGAAGGCAGCUUACUACGGAUGUAUUGACACUGAGGCACGAAAGCGUGGGGAUCAAACAGG
rnacentral:rRNA from 1 species